GAUGAACGCUAGCGGGAGGCCUAACACAUGCAAGCCGAGCGGUAUUUCUUCUUCGGGAGAGAGAGAGCGGCGUACGGGUGCGGAACACGUGUGCAACCUGCCUUUAUCUAGAGGAUAGCCUUUCGAAAGGAAGAUUAAUACUCUAUAAUAUAUUAAUUGGCAUCAAUUGAUAUUGAAAACUCCGGUGGAGAGAGAUGGGCACGCGCAAGAUUAGCUAGUUGGUGAGGUAACGGCUCACCAAGGCAAUGAUCUUUAGGGGGCCUGAGAGGGUGAUCCCCCACACUGGUACUGAUACACGGACCAGACUCCUACGGGAGGCAGCAGUGAGGAAUAUUGGUCAAUGGGUGCAAGCCUGAACCAGCCAUCCCGCGUGAAGGAUUAAGGUCCUAUGGAUUGUAAACUUCUUUUGUAUAGGGAUAAACCUACCCUCGUGAGGGUAGCUGAAGGUACUAUACGAAUAAGCACCGGCUAACUCCGUGCCAGCAGCCGCCGUAACAC
rnacentral:rRNA from 1 species